GACAGAGGGUGCAAACGUUGUUCGGAAUUACUGGGCGUAAAGCGCGUGUAGGCGGUCUCUCAAGUCGGAUGUGAAAGCCCAGGGCUCAACCCUGGAAGUGCACUCGAUACUGCGAGGCUAGAGUCCCGGAGAGGAUGGUGGAACUCUCGGUGUAGAGGUGAAAUUCGUAGAUAUCGAGAAGAACACCGGUGGCGAAGGCGGCCAUCUUGACGGUGACUGACGCUGAGACGCGAAAGCGUGGGGAGCAAACAGG
rnacentral:rRNA from 1 species